GAAAAACUUUAUGAUUUAUAAAAUGAUAAAACCAUUUAUUACAUAAAAAGAGUGAAAUAUGACUAAAAUUGCAAAGUUUGUUUGUGUCACGUUUAUCAUAUUUUAUCUAUUUUUAUAUGCUAUGAACGUCGAAGCGUUCUAUCCUAGUAUGACAUGUUAUAAUGAUUCGGAUUGUCCUCUGUUUUGUCGAAGACCUUGGAUAGCAGUGUGUUUGAAAAGAUGGUGCAGAUGUGUACCUCCAGAAUAGUUUAUACCUUCUUAAUUUUGUAUAUAGGAUCAUUGUUGUUUUCUAUUUGAAUAAAAAGGAAAAAGAGAGGAAGUAUUGUUGCUGAAGAUA